UACGUAGGGCGCAAGCGUUGUCCGGAAUUAUUGGGCGUAAAGAGCUCGUAGGCGGUUUGUCACGUCGGAUGUGAAAGCCCGGGGCUUAACCCCGGGUCUGCAUUCGAUACGGGCAGACUGGAGUGUGGUAGGGGGAGAUCGGAAUUCCUGGUGUAGCGGUGAAAUGCGCAGAUAUCAGGAGGAACACCGGUGGCGAAGGCGGAUCUCUGGGCCAUUACUGACGCUGAGGAGCGAAAGCGUGGGGAGCGAACAGG
rnacentral:rRNA from 1 species